rnacentral:rRNA from 1 species
CGACGACCUCAGAGCA